GCGGAUAUGGCGGAAUUGGCAGACGCGCCAGAUUUAGGUUCUGGUGUUGAACGACGUGCAGGUUCAAGUCCUGUUAUCCGCA
rfam:Blautia sp. CAG:237 genomic scaffold, scf65